AUAGAGAGACACUGUAUCCGGGAUCAAGUUCAUGUAGUAUUCACUUUUAUUUUUUAUUUUUAUUUUUUAGAGAUGGGGUCUUGAUAUGUUGCUCAGGCUGGAGUGUAGUAUGCCAUGGUCCAGUAGCGUGACCAUAGCACACUACAGUCAAGAACUACUGGACUCAAGAGAUUCUCCCACCUCAGCCUCCCAAGCAGCCGGGACUACAGAGGCACACAACCAUACCUGGCUGUUCAUGGAUUAUUAACAGUGGUAAUUCUGAAUACAAAAAUCUUGGAUGAUUGGUAUGAUUUAUUCAUUGUAACUUUUGUUAUGACUUGAUUUUUUCAUAUUGUUUCUGUUUUUUUUUGAGACGGAGUCUCACUCUGUCGCCCAGGCUGGAGUGCAGUGGCACAAUCUCGACUCACUGCAACGUCUGCUACCUGGGUUCAAGUGAUUCUCCUGCCUCAGCCUCCCGAGUAGCUGGGAUUACAGGCACCUGCCACUGUGCCCAGCUAAUUUUUGUAGUUUUAGUAGAGAUGGGGUUUCACCAUGUUGGCCAGGCUGGUCUUGAACUACUGACCUUGUGAUCCAUCUGCCUCGACCCCCCGAAGUGCUGGGAUUACAGGCGUUGCCACCGCGCCCAGCCUUAUUGUUUCUGUUUUUAAAACUACUGUGGUGGAACAUUUUGAGAGUCAUUUAGUUAUAUUUGAGUGAACUAAUGUUCAGUUUACAAAAACUUUUUUGUUCAUAUUCUUCAAAAAUAGAAAAAGAACAGGGACAGUCUAAAUAUAGUUUAAAAGAUACUGCUUUUUGUCAGGGAAAUAACAGAAAAAGGAAUGAAGUUUAGCAGAAAACCUGAAUGCCAUUUUAGUCUGGAUUAGUCAGCUUCUGCUGUGGUAACAAACACUCCCAACAUCUCAGUGGCUUCAAUAAUGAACAAUUGUUUCUUGGUCUUAAGGGCUGAGAAUUAGCUUUCGAUCUCCUGGGCUCUGCUGGUAUCAUGUGUCUUCUGUUUCCAAGAAUCCAGAUUGGAAGAGUAACCUUUGAUGAUACUGAUGUGGAUAAAAUACUUGGCCCAUAGGUAAGCCUGAGAAGGGACAGGCAGA
rnacentral:lncRNA from 10 species